rnacentral:rRNA from 1 species
CAAUAGCGUAUAUUAAAGUUGUUGCAGUUAAAAAGCUCGUAGUUGGAUUUAAGUUUGGUUCAAGAUCACAGUCGUGAGAUUGUGGUGCGUGAAACGGACAUUAUUUGGAAUUGGGGGUUUCUUGGCAUUCAGUUGUUGAGAUUCAACUGCCCAUCGUUUACUGUGAAAAAAUUAGAGUGUUUAAAGCAGGGGUUUUUCCUUUGGAUAUAUUAGCAUGGAAUAAUAAUAUAUGACUCGUAUGGUCUAUUUUGUUGGUUUGCACAUAUGAGUAAUGAUUAAUAGGGACAGUUGGGGGUAUUCAUAUUUGAGCGUCAGAGGUGAAAUUCUUGGAUCGCUGAAAGAUGAGCUAAGGCGAAAGCAUUUACCAAGGAUGUUUUCAUUAA